GAAUCUGGCCCAAUGUAUUCAGUCAUUGUGUGUGUUUGCCUACAGAUGGAGUCCAGUAUGGGAACCCACCAGGGAGAUGUCUCCGUCCUCGGUAUUCCCGGGAUUCUACACAGGAAGAUCACACCAUCCCUCACCAUCAUCAGGGCGAUGAAUUGAAAAACAUCAAAGUUGAGAUUAAAGAGGAAGAAGAAGAGAUGUUGAUAAGUGGUGCUCAGCAGUUUAUGGAGGGGCUGGUCUCAGCAUUCCCAGAAUUCCUUUUCCAACCAUGAUCAGCAUGAAGAACUGAUGUAUGUUAAAGUUGAGGUUAAAGAGGAGGACGAAAUGAUGACUGUAAUGGUUAUCAGGAGUCAACGGAGAAGUUGGGAUGAUGAUGACAACUAAAAAAGAGGAAAUUUUCUGUAGAUAUCAGGACAGAUGGAUCCAGUAAUGGGAACCCACCAGAGAGAUGUCCC